rnacentral:rRNA from 1 species
CUUUAGUUACGGCGAGUGAGCGGUAAAAGCUCAAAUUUGAAAUCUAGCACUUUCAGUGUUCGAGUUGUAAUUUGAAGAAGGUAUCUUUGGAGUUGGCCCCCGUCUAUGUUCCUUGGAACAGGACGUCACAGAGGGUGAGAAUCCCGUGCGAUGGGGAGACCAAUUCUAUGUAAAGUUCCUUCGAAGAGUCGAGUUGUUUGGGAAUGCAGCUCUAAGUGGGUGGUAAAUUCCAUCUAAAGCUAAAUAUUGGCGAGAGACCGAUAGCGAACAAGUACAGUGAUGGAAAGAUGAAAAGAACUUUGAAAAGAGAGUGAAAAAGUACGUGAAAUUGUUGAAAGGGAAGGGCUUUUGAUCAGACUUGGUGUUUAGUACUCUCUACUCCUUGUGGGUGGAGCUCUUGCUUUAUACUGGGCCAGCAUCGGUUUGGAUGGUAGGAUAAUAGCAUUGGAAUGUGGCUUCAUUCGUGAAGUGUUAUAGCCCUUGUUGAUACUACCUAUCUAGACCGAGGACUGCGUCUUUUGACUAGGAUGCUGGCGUAAUGAUUAAAAGCCGCCCGUCUUG